rnacentral:tRNA from 1 species
GUUUCCGUGGUCUAGUGGUUAUCACGUUCGUCUUACACGCGGAAGGUCCCCGGUUCGAUCCCGGGCGGAAACA